GAUUUUCAAAACCAGGAGGUUGUUCUACAUAAACCUCCUCAUUAAAAUAUCCAUUCAAGAAAGCAUUUUUUACAUCCAUUUGAAAUAAUUUAAAAUUUUUAAAACCUGCAAAUGCUAGUAACAAUCUAAUUGCCUCAAGUCUAGCCACAGGAGCAAAGGUCUCAUCAAAGUCUAUACCUUCUUGAUUAUAGCCCUUUGCUACUAGUCUAGCCUUGUUCCUAAUCACAACUUCAUUUUCAUCAAGUUUAUUUUGUAUACCCAUUUAGUUCCAAUUAUUGAGUAUUCAGAGGGUCUUUCAACUAAGUCCAUACUUUGUUUCUUGUAAAUUGGUUAAGUUCCUCUUGCAUAACAUUUAUCCAAUUUACGUCACUUUCAACUUCUUCAAUAUUUUUAGGUUCUAAAUGUGAAACAAAUGCAAGAUGAUUAUUUAAGUUUCUAAGAGAGGCUCUAGUUCUAACAGGUUGAGAUGGAUCAUCUAUCUUUGUUUUUAAGGUUUAUUGUCCUAUAUUCAUCCAUUAGUUCAUUAAAGGCAUCAUACAACUCUUCAAAAGUAAAAUCUAAAUGAGUUUCAUACAUUACCUCUUUUUCGUUUGCCAUAAGGCAGAAAUUAGCUUUCUCCUCUUAUUCUUCUUUCGAUGAUGAUGAUGACUUAUCAGAGUCAGUCUAUGUGGUGUAAGAGCUUUCUUUUUUUUGUACUUGUUGCUCUUCCUCAGUAAGGGACAGUCGGCUCUGAAAUGAUCCGGCUUCUUACAUUCAUAGCAUCCGAUUUUCUCACUUUUUCUUUUCUUACCUUUAUCCUUGUUGAAGGAACUCGAGGGAACUCUCCUUUUAUGGAAGGGCUUCUUCCGAUUGAUGAAUCUUCUGAAUUUUCGCACAAAGAAAGCCUCUUCUUCAUCUUCCUCAUUGUCUUCUUCUCACUGCUGCUACUACAAGAAACAUCCUUGUUAGAAGAAGUAGAUUUGAGGGCAAUUACCUUUUUCUUAUGGGAGGAUUCUUCUUCACUUUGUUGUUUCAUUAUGAGCUUAUGCGUCAUUAGAGAUCCAAGAAGCUCCUCGAGUGGCAGCUUGUUUAAGUCUUUUGCUUCUUGGAUUGCCGUGACCUUAGCUUCCCAUGACCUUGGUAAAGAGCGAAGAAUUUUUCUGACAAGAUCACUGUUAGUAUAACUUUUGCCAAGGUUUUUUAAGCCGUUGACAAUAUCAGUAAAUCUUGUGAACAUGCAAGAAAUGGUUUCAUUAGACUCCAUUUUAAAUAGUUCUCUCAAAAUAUCAUCUCUCAGAGCUCUAAGCUGCUCACCACUAAGCCUAACCUCAAGGGGCUGCUGAGAUGGUGGCACUGUGGAUGAAGGCCCAAUAGUGGAUGAAGGGCCAGCAGUGGAUGGGAAGGUGGAGGGAUCUACGGAGGUAUCCGGUUUAUAUUCAUAAGUGGGAGAGUGAGGAGCAGUGGGGUCAGAUGGUAUGAUAGAAGAAGUUUUUCUAACCCAAGUACCCUCAACCUUAUGGAAACCCAUUCGGUGGAGAGUCCCCUCGCCCAUAUGGUCAGUGUAGCGAAGUGAACGAGAGGGUUCCCCCUCAGGAAUAGGGACCUCUAAUUCCCUAAAGAUCAGGGUGAAGAGCAUGCCAUAUGAAAGACUCAAUCUUGGAUUUUCUAGGGGAUCACAGAUAUGACUAUAAAUGAGUCUAGAAAAGUUGAGAGGGACGUCAUGUAGGAUGUUGAACAUGAUAGCUAGGUCUCUCUCAGAAAUAAAGUCAAACCUACCCAUUUUAGGAAGGAGGGUGCGAGAAAUAAUACUUAGUAGGAGGCGCAUCUCAGCGGAGAGCUGAUUUGCGAAGACCUCCUCAAUGGGGGACUGGGGUGCUCUCCCUAGAAUGGUCGUAAGGGCCUCAAAUCUAUCGGAGGGGUGAGUGGGAGUUAUACCCUCACGAGAGAAGUGGAGGACUUGUGCAAUGAAGUCCUCCGAGAUGGAAAUAGGGACAUUGGCUACCCUUCCUUGAAUACCGCCGCCACCCCAUGUGACGGUGCCAUAGAAUUUUCGGACUAACCCAGGAUAUGUGGGAAGAUCAAGGGAACAAAAGUAAUCUAGACCUUGAGCCCUAAGAUGAUGCCCUCACGUGAACCCUUCUCGAGAGAGGAAGUCAAAAUCGAUUUUCCUUCCGGUAGAGACAACUCUCCCGGCGUACGAGCGCGAGGGAACCGACCGAGGCGGGGAGGAAACCGAAGGAGGUGGUCUCACAGGUUCAUUCCUCACCUUGGAUCGUCUCUUAGUGCCGCUCGCAACAAGAGGCCUCUUCCGGCGAGAUACAAUGGCUUUCCUAAGCAUCCCGACCUACUAAAGGAAGGAGAGAUGUGAAAUGGGAGGAAAAUUGGAGAAAAAAUGAAGGGAGGAGGUGGAGACGACCGUGGGAGACGACUCAAGGGUUUUGGAACAGUGGCGGCCGAAAAUAAAGAUAUGAAAAAAGUCAUUUCGUUUAGGGUUAAAAAUCGGAUUUCCGACCUCGAGUCGACUCCUGAAAAUUCGCGAGUCAACUCUCAGAAUCAUCCGAGUCGACUCGAACUCUAUCACAUAACCAAAAUCUCAGUUAGUACUGUGCCAAAAGAGAGAGAUAUGAUAAUCUUUAAAGCUUAAGGAAUGAUUUGAUGAUAAUAGACGUGGAAUACUAUAUCAAACGUAAAUUAAUGAUCAAAAUCAAUGAAUGAGAGAAAAGAAUCAAAGAAAUGGAUCAAUCACUCUUAACCCUCUUCUAAGAGUACAAAAUCGAUCUUCACUUAAGAUUUUUGUAAAGAUAUCAGCAAGUUGAUCAUCAGUACAAACAAAUUCAAGCAUCACAUCACCAUUUAAUACAUGAUCUCUUAUGAAGUGAUGUCUUAUCUCAAUGUAUUUAGUUCUUGAGUGCUGAAUUGGAUUUUUAGUUAGAUUUAUGGCAUUUGUAUUAUCACAGUUUAUGAAAAUCUUAUCUUGCUUAAUGCCAUAAUCUUCAAGUUGUUGCUUGAUCCACAAAAUUUGAGUACAACAACUCUCGGCAGCAACAUAUUCGGCCUCCGCCGUAGAUAGUGCAACCGAGUUUUGUUUCUUGCUAAACCAUGAGAUUAAGUUCUCUCUAUUGUCCGAUUCCUAUUUACCUAAAAAUAUGCUAAACAGAUCAUUGUUAGAACCGACAAAUAAAGUUUAAAUUAAUUUUACUCUUACCUGUUCUACUCGAAGAAAAGUGGUUGUAAGAGGUCGAUCCACAGGGAGUCGACUGGAGUUGCAUAAAAAUCAAAACGUUCACUCGGAUUCGAAAUCAAUUUUUGAAUAACAAAAGAAAAACAUUACUUCGGGGAUGUUUGAAAGAUUCUCUGGGCUACCAGAGAUUGUUUUCUACUUGAAAUUGACAAAAAGACAGGUAUUUAAAUUUGAAAGGCAUUUAUAUAUUGAACUAAUCAAAGAAANNNNNNNNNNNNNNNNNNNNNNNNNNNNNNNNNNNNNNNNNNNNNNNNNNNNNNNNNNNNNNNNNNNNNNNNNNNNNNNNNNNNNNNNNNNNNNNNNNNNNNNNNNNNNNNNNNNNNNNNNNNNNNNNNNNNNNNNNNNNNNNNNNNNNNNNUGAUUGAUUUCAUAAAAAGAAAUGAUUACAAAAAUAAAAAGGAAGAUUGGAAGCCUAAUGCUUCUUUUCUUCUGCAAAGAAAGCAAGAAAUAACAUUAAACUCCCUCAUCUUUUCUUCUACAAAUAACAAGAAAAUAAGAAAAGAAAAGAAAGCAUGGCUCCCCCUCGGUGGAACUCUCAAAAUAAAAUAUAUUUUCUUUUUCUUCCUUCUUCUCGAAAAACAGAGCUCCCCUGUUUUCCCUGUUCUUUGGCCCAAACCCCAACCGAGCUCUCCCCUCCCCCUUCCCGAUGGCUCCCUUAUAUAGAUCCCCAGCAAGCGUGGAUGGCUGGAUUAUAGGCGGAAGGAGAGGGCGGACGCGGUGGAGGCUGGGAUGCUGCUUGGUUCACGGGAUUGCUGGGCGGAUUGCGGAGGAGGGGGUCAAUGAUCCGUGGAGCUUGGACGCGGCGUCGGAGGCUGGGAUUCCGGCUGGGAUCGGAGGACGUGGAUCCGUGGGGACCGUUGCUCCUCCUCUGACGAGGAAGAGGUGGAUGCAGAGGCGGGAUGAGAUGCGGCUUGCUUGAUUUGGGAGGCUUGGAAGAGUGGCUGGCUGCUGGAUGGACGGGAGGAUGCCGUGGGAUCGCUUGAGGAGCCGAUCAUGGCUUGAUGGGCGCGGGAUCGCUGGAGGAGGCGGUCACGGCUUGGAUCCGGGUGCUAGGACGUUCACCGCGUGAAGAACGCGGGCUGCUGGGCGCGGAAGAGGAAGACGGACGCGUGAUGCAGGCUGGGAUUGAUCACGGAUGGAAGGAGCUGGGGACGUGGACUUCCUUCUUUAGCCACAGGAUGACGAUGGAAUGGCAUCGCUCGGGAUCGCUGUGGCGGACGCGUGGGAUCAUUCCUUCUCCCCUGUUUUCGCACGGAUGAAGCUGGAGAUUGCAGUUGGGGGAGAUAGGUUGAUAUGGAAGGAUGUGGAUGCUGAAUUGCUGAUCCAUGGAAAGUAGGAUAUACGGGUGUAUGGACUGCACGUGGGAAGACUCCAGAAUGUUGUGAUGAACUCAUUCAAAUGGACGCACGGGAUGCUGGAUCAGGGAUGCUUCGUGGAAGAUAGACGGCUUGGCUUGGGAAGGGAUCCUUCUGAAGUCAAUUUGUACUCAAUGUGCAUUUUAUCUCUAAUUUACGAUAAUCUGUGUCAAACCCAAAUAUAAUAUUAAUCCAGUGAAUUUAUCAUUAUAUGUGAGCAGUAACACUAAUUUAGGCAGCGUGUAGAUCGCACUUUUGUGCUCUCUUCACUCUUCUAAGAAUUGACAUGACCUGCUGGUGCUUUUUCUAUCAAGUUUACAACCAGCAAAGUCAGAAUCAGUGUGCCCUAUUAAAUCUAUACUUGAUUCUUUAGAGUACCAUAAUCCUAUAUCUUUUGUUCCUAUUAGAUACUUAAAAUUUUUUUUAACUGCAAUUAGGUGUGUUUCCUUAGGAUUAGAUUGAUAUCUAGCACACAUGCAUACACUAAACAUGAUAUCAGGUCUACUUACUGUAAGAUAUAAUAAUGAUCUGAUCAUACCUUUAUACAGCUUUUGAUCUACUGACUUACCUAAUUCAUCUUUGUCUAGUUUGCAUGAUGAGCUUAUGGGGGCGCCAAUUGACUUGUUUCCAUCUAUAUCAAAUUUCUUUAGCAUUUUCUUGAUGUAUUUAGCUUGAUUGAUGAAAAUUAUUUUCUUAAAUUGUUUGAUUUGAAGUCCGAGAAAGUAGUUCAACUCUCCCAUCAUGCUCAUCUCAAAUUCACUCUGCAUUAAUUCAGCAAACUCUUUGCAAAGACGAUUGUUAGUAGCACCAAAAAUAAUAUCAUCUACAUAAAUCUGCAUUAUUAACAUAUCUUUGUUUUUCUUUUUCAAAAAUAAGGUUGUAUCAAUAUUUCCUCUAGAAAAUUCAUGAUCCAAUAGAAAUUUGCUAAAUCUUUCAUACCAUGCUCUAGGAGCUUGUUUUAGACCAUAAAGUGUUGUAUUUAAUUUGUAAAUAUGGUUAGGGUAUUGAUGAUUUUCAAAACCAGGAGUUUGUUCUACAUAAACCUCCUCAUUAAUAUACCCAUUUAAGAAAGCACUCUUUACAUCCAUUUGAAAUAAUUUGAAAUCUUUAAAACAUGCAAAUGCUAGUAGCAAUAUAAUUGCUUCGAGUCUAGCCACAGAAGCAAAGGUCUCAUCAAAAUCUAUACCUUCUUCUUGAUUAUAGCCCUUUGCUACUAGUAUAGCCUUAUUCCUAACCACAACUCCAUUUUCAUCAAGCUUAUUUUUGUACACCCUAGUUCCAAUUAUUAAGUAUUCGGAGGGUCUUUGAACUAAGUUUCAUACAUUGUUUCUUAUAAAUUGGUUAAGUUCCUCUUGCAUAGCGUUUAUUCAAUUUACAUCAUUUUCAGCUUUUUCAAUGUUUUUAGGUUCUAAAUGUGAUACAAAUGUAAGAUGAUUAUUUAAGUUCCUAAGAGAGGCUCUAGUUUUAACAGGUUGAGAUAGAUCAUCUAAGAUUAACUUUUUAGGAUGACCGUAAGCAUACCUCCAAACCUUUGUAAGCCCAUGAUUAGCAAUUACCUCUUGGCUUGUUGAAGUCUCUUCAAUUUGCUUCGGUUCAUCCUCUUGUAAGGUCAUGUCAUCUAUCUUUUCUUCAAGUAUCCCUGCAUCAUCAUCAAAAGUUACUUCUUUGCUAGAGGAAGCAUCAUUAGUCUCAUCAAAAAUAACAUGAAUAGAUUCUUCAACAACAAGAGUUCUUUUGUUGAAGACUCUAUAUGCCUUACUUGAUGUAGAGUAUCCCAAAAAGAUACCUUAAUCAGAUUUGGAAUCAAAUUUGCCUAAAUUAUCUUUACCAUUAUUAUGAAUGAAACACCUACAACUAAAAACAUGAAAGUAGUUUACUUUGGGUUUUCUAUCUCUCCAAAGUUCAUAAAGUGUUUUCUUUAUAAUUAGUCUAAACAAAACUUUAUUUAGAAUAUAACAUGAUGUGUUAAUAGUUUCAGCCCAAAAGUACUUUGGAAGAUUAUUUUCGCACAACAUGGUCCUAGCCAUCUCUUCUAGAGUUCUAUUCUUUCUUUCUACCACUUCAUUUUGUUGUGGAGUCCUAGGUGCAGAAAAAUUAUGAGUUAUGCCCUUUUUACUACAAAAUUUUUUAAAGAGAUGAUUUUCAAAUUCUGUUCCAUGAUCACUCCUAAUAACUAUAACUGAAGUAUUUUUUACAUUAGUUACUUCCUUAUAUAAUUUCUUAAAUGCUGAAAAUGCUUCAUCUUUAUGAGCCAAAAAUAUGACCAUGUGUAUCUAGAAAAAUCAUUUUAAUCUUAAGACCAUACUUCUUUCCACCAAGGCUUGUGGUCCUAGUUGGUCCAAAGAGGUCCAUGUGAAGUAGCUCAAGGGGUCUAGUAGUAGAAAUACAGUUAUAGACUUAAAAGAGCUUCUACAUUGUUUGUCAAAUUGACAUGCUCUACAAAUUUUAUUUUUUUCAAAUUUCAGCUUUGGCAAACCAAUCACAGAAUCUCUUUUAAUUAAUUUAGACAGUGUAUCUAUGCUUGCAUAACCUAAUUUACGAUGCCAUAACCAACUUUUCUCAUUUAGCUUAGUAUCAUCAGCUACUAAGUAGCGACUGUUAGAUCAUCAAAAUCUACUACAUACACAUUGCCAUAUCUUAGUCUUUUGAAAACUAGGCUAUUGUCAAUUGAAUUGGUUAUGAUGCAUGAAGAUGACUUAAACAAAAUAUUAAAAUCUCUAUCACAUAAUUGACUAAUACUAAGUAAAUUAUGCUUGAGACCAUCUACAAACCGAACAUUAUCAACAAGGGUUGAAGGUGUGAUUUGUAUUUUACCGAUACCAGUGAUGUGACCUUGGUUAUUGUCUCCAAAAGUCACUACACCUCCUUUCUUAGAUUCUAGGAUGAAGAAUUACUCCUUGUCACCCAUCAUGUGUCUUGAGCAGCCACUAUCCAAGUACCAACAGUGUUUAUUGAGCUUGACGGCAAGAUACUCCGAUACACAAAGAAAUCAAACAGUCUUAGGUACCCAAGUUUUCUUGGAUUCUUCUAGGUUAGCUAUGUUAGUUUAUUUUGGAACCCAAACCUUUUUAAUCUUUCUUUUAGCUUCUGUUUUUCUAUAGUUGCAUACAUUAGCUUUAUGUCCUAUUAUAUAACAACAAAAACAGAUUACAUCUUUAGCUUUACUUUCACCGACUUUUAUAAAGAAGUUUUUAAGAAAUUUCUUUUUGUUCUUAGGCUUAUACCCUAACCCGG
rnacentral:lncRNA from 1 species